UGUCCAGGGGCGGGAAUCGAACCCACAACCUUCUGCUUACCGGGCAGGUGCCAUGUCCACUAGGCUACUCUGGAC